rnacentral:rRNA from 1 species
AACGAACGCUGGCGGCACGCCUAACACAUGCAAGUCGAACGAGACCUUCGGGUCUAGUGGCGCACGGGUGCGUAACGCGUGGGAAUCUGCCCUUGGGUUCGGGAUAACAGUUGGAAACGACUGCUAAUACCGGAUGAUGUCUUCGGACCAAAGAUUUAUCGCCCAAGGAUGAGCCCGCGUAGGAUUAGCUUGUUGGUGAGGUAAGAGCUCACCAAGGCGACGAUCCUUAGCUGGUCUGAGAGGAUGAUCAGCCACACUGGAACUGAGACGCGGGCCAGACUCCUACGGGAGGCAGAAUGGGGGAAUAUUUGAAAAUGGGCAAAAGCCUGAACCAGAAAUGCGGCGUGAGUGAGGAAGGCCUUAGGUUUGUAAAGGUCUGUUCCCCGGGAGGAUAAUGACAUUACCGGGAGAAUAGGCCCCGGCUAACUCCGUGCCAGCCGCCGCCGAAA